GUUGAUAACAUUCUUGGUUCUGGUGUACAAAUGAGUCUUGCAGCUUGAAGAGACCAGACAUGAAUGUCAGGAAAAUGCUGCUGCCCAGUGGUUGCCUCUCAAGAAAAGGAGGAUAAGGAGAAGGUCUUUGAGGGAUUGCUUCAUUACAGCGAGCAGCGUCUCUGCUUUUCCUUCUUCUGAGGGUCUUGAAGUCCCACUGCAUCUCUCUGCUCACAUUUCUUCUAGGGCACAUCAUCCUUUUACCUUCUGCCCUUAUGGGAUUCUUCUUUCCUCAGCCAGAAACUUUUGAAUAGGAUGAAGUCUGAGACACAGUCUACAUCACAUUGGGAUUUUUCAGGUCUGGCAGAACCAGGAAGCUAUCAAAUGGAUCCCAAGAAUGUGGUUAUUCUGACCCAGCUCAUUCACAUUCACUUAUCUCAUGAUAAAAAGCAUAGCCGGAAUACACCAGCUGUACAGAAGAAGAUAAAUAGUUCAGAUGUCUAUUUGGAAGCACUCUGCAGAGAAAUAAAGCAGAAGAGAAUUCAGGAAUAAAGUCUAAUCAGCCACGUGCUGUCAAAUGGUUUCACCUGCUCCUGGGAGCACAGGCUGACACAGCUGUGAGACACAGUCCCCACCACUAUCCUGCUCUGAAAAAAGGAUCGCGUCAGGGAGGUGGACCUUGGCAAAACUAGAAUAUACUACAGUUGUGGCUUUCAAAUCACAAGUCAAGUUCUCCUAUGCAUGAACUCAGGCAGAAAGCUAACCAGCAGAAACAGACUUAAAUGGCAAAGAAUAUUGAAAGAGAAAAGAUGUAACAAGGCAGGUGAGGGAGCAGUGUAGGUCAUCGCAGGGUGCUGCAGGGGGACCAGACAACCCAAACCAAAGCAAAAAACACCAAGAAGCCCACAGCGGACAGCGGGAUUCCUGGUUUGCAGAGUCAUCUACCUUCAACUGAUACAAGUGGAUGAUUGGUGCGGCGGAGGGCAGCAGGCUGAGAUGCCGUGGCCCCUUGCGACCUGCCCUUCCCCCGCUCCUCCCUGGCGGGACACCAGGUAACCCCGCUCUCCCCCGUGUCCCGG